rnacentral:rRNA from 1 species
UACGGAGGGGGCAAGCGUUGUUCGGAAUUACUGGGCGUAAAGGGCGCGUAGGCGGCCUUCUAAGUCGAACGUGAAAUCCCCGGGCUCAACCCGGGAACUGCGUCCGAGACUGGAAGGCUCGAAUCCGGGAGAGGGAUGUGGAAUUCCAGGUGUAGCGGUGAAAUGCGUAGAUAUCUGGAGGAACAUCGGUGGCGAAGGCGGCAUCCUGGACCGGCAUUGACGCUGAGGCGCGAAAGCCAGGGGAGCAAACGGG